AAAAAGUUGCCCUAAACCCCCUUUUCUGGUUGAUUCUCCUCUUCUCCUCACGUUGGCUAUUACUAUUUCUUCUCCAAGCAGGUCCGCAGAGGUAUAGUUUAUGGCGAUCAACCAAGAAAUAGGCUAGAUCUGUAUCUACCCAAAAAUUCUGAUGGGCCAAAACCAGUCAUUGCAUUUGUAACUGGUGGAGCCUGGAUUAUUGGGUGAGUGAUUGAUUCUUGUAUGUUUAUUUCUGAAUGGUUCCUUGAUGGUGUAGCAUGCAUAUCUGUUCGUUUUCGGAGUGUAAAGCUCAGUAGAGCUGAGAUGUAGAUUAAUCAGAUCACUAUUCUAGGAACAUGAGUCCAAUGCUUGAGUUGUAGCUCCAAUGUGAUGGUUUUGCUUCUCUUUUUCCCCC